GUGGGGAAUAUUGGACAAUGGGCGCAAGCCUGAUCCAGCCAUGCCGCGUGAGUGAUGAAGGCCUUAGGGUUGUAAAGCUCUUUCAGUGGGGACGAUAAUGACGGUACCCACAGAAGAAGCCCCGGCUAACUUCGUGCCAGCAGCCGCGGUAAUACGAAGGGGGCUAGCGUUGGUCGGAUUUACUGGGCGUAAAGCGCACGUAGGCGGAUCGUUAAGUCGGGGGUGAAAUCCUGGAGCGCAACUCCAGAACUGCCGUCGAGACUGGCGAUCUUGAGUCCGGAAGAGGUGGGUGGAACUCCUAGUGUAGAGGUGGAAUUCGUAGAUAUUAGGAAGAACACCAGUGGCGAAGGCGGCUCACUGGUCCGGUACUGACGCUGAGGUGCGAAAGCGUGGGGAGCAAACAGGAUUAGAUACCCUUGUAGUCC
rnacentral:rRNA from 1 species